GAUGAAGAACGCAGCGAAAUGCGAAAAGUAGUGUGAAUUGCAGAAUUCAGUGAAUCAUCGAAUCUUUGAACGCACAUUGCGCCCGCUGGUAUUCCGGCGGGCAUGCCUGUUCGAGCGUCAUUUCAACCCUCAAGCUCUCCGGAGUUUGGUGUUGGGGCGCCUGGGGCUUUUCGACCUCAGGGCCCUCAAGUCCAUCGGCGGGACCGCCAGGACACUGAGCGCAGUAGUAUUAUUUCGCUCGGUAGGAUCUUCCACGGCGGGUCGAUCUGGCCGCUAAACCCCCCAAUUCUCACCAAAGGUUGACCUCGGAUCAGGUAGGAAUACCCGCUGAACUUAAGCAUAUCAAUAAGCGGAGGA
rnacentral:misc_RNA from 1 species